GAUUAACGCUGGCGGCGUGCAUGAGACAUGCAAGUCGAACGGACGAGCAGGGCUUGCCUUGCUCGUUAGUGGCGGACGGCUGAGUAACGCGUGGGUGACCUGCCCCGAAGUGGGGAAUAACUGCCCGAAAGGGUGGCUAAUACCGCAUGUGGAGCCUGGUUCGUUCCAGUCUCCAAAGCCGCAAGGCGCUUCGGGAGGGGCCUGCGUCCGAUUAGCUCGUUGGUGGGGUAACGGCUUACCAAGGCGACGAUCGGUAGGUGGUCUGAGAGGACGAUCACCCAGACUGGGACUGAGACACGGCCCAGACUCCUACGGGAGGCAG
rnacentral:rRNA from 1 species